rnacentral:rRNA from 1 species
UUAAGCGACUAAGCGUACACGGUGGAUGCCCUGGCAGUCAGAGGCGAUGAAGGACGUGCUAAUCUGCGAAAAGCGUCGGUAAGGUGAUAUGAACCGUUACAGCCGGCGAUGUCCGAAUGGGGAAACCCAGUGCAAUUCGUUGCACUAUCGUUAACUGAAUACAUAGGUUAACGAGGCGAACCGGGGGAACUGAAACAUCUAAGUACCCCGAGGAAAAGAAAUCAACCGAGAUUCCCCAGUAGCGGCGAGCGAACGGGGAGCAGCCCAGAGUCUGAAUCAGCUUGUGUGUUAGUGGAACGGUCUGGAAAGUCCGACGGUACAGGGUGAUAGUCCCGUACACCAAAAUGCACAGGUUGUGAACUCGAAGAGUAGGGCGGGACACGUGGUAUCCUGUCUGAAUAUGGGGGACCAUCCUCCAAGGCUAAAUACUCCUGACUGACCGAUAGUGAACCAGUACCGUGAGGGAAAGGCGAAAAGAACCCCGGCGAGGGGAGUGAAAAAGAACCUGAAACCGUGUACGUACAAGCAGUGGGAGCACCCUUUAGGGUGUGACUGCGUACCUUUUGUAUAAUGGGUCAGCGACUUAUAUUCUGUAGCAAGGUUAACCGUAUAGGGGAGCCGCAGGGAAACCGAGUCUUAACUGGGCGUUAAGUUGCAGGGUAUAGACCCGAAACCCGGUGAUCUAGCCAUGGGCAGGUUGAAGGUUGGGUAACACUAACUGGAGGACCGAACCGACUAAUGUUGAAAAAUUAGCGGAUGACUUGUGGCUGGGGGUGAAAGGCCAAUCAAACCGGGAGAUAGCUGGUUCUCCCCGAAAGCUAUUUAGGUAGCGCCUCGUGAACUCAUCUUCGGGGGUAGAGCACUGUUUCGGCUAGGGGUCAUCCCGACUUACCAACCCGAUGCAAACUACGAAUACCGAAGAAUGUUAUCACGGGAGACACACGGCGGGUGCUAACGUCCGUCGUGAAGAGGGAAACAACCCAGACCGCCAGCUAAGGUCCCAAAGUCACAGUUAAGUGGGAAACGAUGUGGGAAGGCACAGACAGCCAGGAUGUUGGCUUAGAAGCAGCCAUCAUUUAAAGAAAGCGUAAUAGCUCACUGGUCGAGUCGGCCUGCGCGGAAGAUGUAACGGGGCUAAACUGUGCACCGAAGCUGCGGCAGCGACACUAUGUGUUGUUGGGUAGGGGAGCGUUCUGUAAGCCUGCGAAGGUGGCCUGUGAGGGUUGCUGGAGGUAUCAGAAGUGCGAAUGCUGACAUAAGUAACGAUAAUGCGGGUGAAAAGCCCGCACGCCGGAAGACCAAGGGUUCCUGUCCAACGUUAAUCGGGGCAGGGUGAGUCGACCCUANNNNNNNNNNNNNNNNNNNNNNNGAUGGGAAACAGGUUAAUAUUCCUGUACUUGGUGUUACUGCGAAGGGGGACGGAGAAGGCUAUGUUAGCCGGGCGACGGUUGUCCCGGUUUAAGCAUGUAGGCGGAGGUUCCAGGUAAAUCCGGUACCUUAUUAACGCUGAGGUGUGAUGACGAGGCACUACGGUGCUGAAGUAACAAAUGCCCUGCUUCCAGGAAAAGCCUCUAAGCAUCAGGUAACAUUAAAUCGUACCCCAAACCGACACAGGUGGUCAGGUAGAGAAUACCAAGGCGCUUGAGAGAACUCGGGUGAAGGAACUAGGCAAAAUGGUGCCGUAACUUCGGGAGAAGGCACGCUGAUAUGUAGGUGAAGCCCCUGCGGGUGGAGCUGAAAUCAGUCGAAGAUACCAGCUGGCUGCAACUGUUUAUUAAAAACACAGCACUGUGCAAACACGAAAGUGGACGUAUACGGUGUGACGCCUGCCCGGUGCCGGAAGGUUAAUUGAUGGGGUUAUCCGUAAGGAGAAGCUCUUGAUCGAAGCCCCGGUAAACGGCGGCCGUAACUAUAACGGUCCUAAGGUAGCGAAAUUCCUUGUCGGGUAAGUUCCGACCUGCACGAAUGGCGUAAUGAUGGCCAGGCUGUCUCCACCCGAGACUCAGUGAAAUUGAACUCGCUGUGAAGAUGCAGUGUACCCGCGGCAAGACGGAAAGACCCCGUGAACCUUUACUAUAGCUUGACACUGAACAUUGAGCCUUGAUGUGUAGGAUAGGUGGGAGGCUUUGAAGCGUGGACGCCAGUCUGCGUGGAGCCAACCUUGAAAUACCACCCUUUAAUGUUUGAUGUUCUAACGUUGGCCCCUGAUCGGGGUUGCGGACAGUGUCUGGUGGGUAGUUUGACUGGGGCGGUCUCCUCCCAAAGAGUAACGGAGGAGCACGAAGGUUAGCUAAUCCUGGUCGGACAUCAGGAGGUUAGUGCAAUGGCAUAAGCUAGCUUGACUGCGAGCGUGACGGCGCGAGCAGGUGCGAAAGCAGGUCAUAGUGAUCCGGUGGUUCUGAAUGGAAGGGCCAUCGCUCAACGGAUAAAAGGUACUCCGGGGAUAACAGGCUGAUACCGCCCAAGAGUUCAUAUCGACGGCGGUGUUUGGCACCUCGAUGUCGGCUCAUCACAUCCUGGGGCUGAAGUAGGUCCCAAGGGUAUGGCUGUUCGCCAUUUAAAGUGGUACGCGAGCUGGGUUUAGAACGUCGUGAGACAGUUCGGUCCCUAUCUGCCGUGGGCGCUGGAGAAUUGAGGGGGCUGCUCCUAGUACGAGAGGACCGGAGUGGACGCAUCACUGGUGUUCGGGUUGUCAUGCCAAUGGCAUUGCCCGGUAGCUAAAUGCGGAAGAGAUAAGUGCUGAAAGCAUCUAAGCACGAAACUUGCCCCGAGAUGAGUUCUCCCUGACUCCUUGAGAGUCCUGAAGGAACGUUAAAGACGAUGACGUUGAUAGGUCGGGUGUGUAAGCGUAGCGAUACGUUGAGCUAACCGAUACUAAUGAACCGUGAGGCUUAACCUU